GGGAGGCAGCAGUGGGGAAUAUUGCACAAUGGGCGCAAGCCUGAUGCAGCCAUGCCGCGUGUAUGAAGAAGGCCUUCGGGUUGUAAAGUACUUUCAGCGGGGAGGAAGGCGAUACGGUUAAUAACCGUGUCGAUUGACGUUACCCGCAGAAGAAGCACCGGCUAACUCCGUGCCAGCAGCCGCGGUAAU
rnacentral:rRNA from 1 species